rnacentral:rRNA from 1 species
AGAUUGAACGCUGGCGGCAUGCCUUACACAUGCAAGUCGAACGCCAAAGCGAGGGGCAACUCUUGCGAGUAGCGUGGCGCACGGGUGAGUAACAACAAUCGGAACGUAUCCACGAGUGGGGGACAACCAGUCGAAAGAUUGGCUAAUACCGCAUACGCUGGGGACAGGAAAGCGGGGGACGGGUCACACCGGCCUCGCGCUCGCGGGGCGGCCGAUGUCCGAUUAGCUAGUGGCGGGGUAAGAGCCCACCAAGGCUGCGAUCGGUAGCGGGUCUGAGAGGAUGAUCCGCCACACUGGGACUGAGACACGGGCCCA